CAAGCCUGAUGCAGCCAUGCCGCGUGUAUGAAGAAGGCCCUCGUGCUGUAAAGUACUUUCAGCGGGGAGGAAGGUGUUGUGGCUAAUAACCACAGCAAUUGACGGUACCUGCAGAAGAAGCGCCGGCUAACUACGUGCCAGCAGCCGCGGUAAUACGUAGGGCGCAAGCGUUGUCCGGAAUUAUUGGACGUAAAGAGCUCGUAGGCGGUUAGUCGCGUCUGCUGUGAAAACUCGAGGCUCAACCUCGGGCUUGCAGUGGGUACGGGCUGACUAGAGUGCGGUAGGGGUGACUGGAAUUCCUGGUGUAGCGGUGGAAUGCGCAGAUAUCAGGAGGAACACCGAUGGCGAAGGCAGGUCACUGGGCCGCAACUGACGCUGAGGAGCGAAAGCAUGGGGAGCGAACA
rnacentral:rRNA from 1 species